rnacentral:tRNA from 1 species
GUGGGUGUAGCUCAGUGGUAGAGCGCAAGGUUAGCACGCACGAGGUCCUGGGUUCAAUCCCCAGUACCUCCA